rnacentral:rRNA from 1 species
GUCUCCUGAAGGAACGUUGAAGACGACGACGUUGAUAGGCCGGGUGUGUAAGCGCAGCGAUGCGUUGAGCUAACCGGUACUAAUGAACCGUGAGGCUUAACCUUACAACGCCAAAG